rnacentral:lncRNA from 1 species
AUACUCGUAGGCGUAAAUCUAACCUUCUUCCCACAGCACAUUCUCAGCUUAUCUGGAAUACCCCGAUGUUAUUCUGACUACCCCGACGCAUAUACCACGUGAAAUAUUUUAUCAUCUGUAGGCUCAUUCAUCUCCUUAACAGCAGUAAUAUUAAUAAUUUUCAUAACCUGAGAGGCCUUUGCUUCAAAAUGGAAAGUUCUAAUAAUUGAACAACCUUCCACUAACUUAGAGUGGUUAUGUGGCUGCCCUCCACCCUACCAUACGUUUGAAGAACCAGUCUACAUAAAA